UGCCAAAAAGGAUAACAUGAGCAUUUUAACGAAACGCAAACCACCCAGAGAGUUGUUUUUCUCCUAUCCCAGAAUGCAUCUGUGGUGUGACCAGACCUUACUCCCCAAGGCUGUGGAGAUAGGUCUGGCAAUGCAACACUAAACCUCUACCUUCAGCUUUUUUUUUCAGAAACAUGCACUGCUGCCUCCACCUUAGAUAUUCAGCCAGAUAACGCCACCCAGAGCCUCCACCUACAGCCUCUUCCAGUAACCUGCACCUCCACCUCCUGUCUUAGUUCUACGUACACACUGAAGUGAAAGACCAGGGCCCGAAGACACAUUGGUCUGUCUAAUGAUGAAGACCAUCAAAAUGGACCUUCUGAACGUCAAAGCCAAGAAAGAGCUCUUCUUCCUCCCACAAGUCUGAAGUCAAGGCAGUGUGGAUCAUGGCCCUGUUGGACUUCCCAGACUUCUACAUCUACAGCUGUGAACCAGAGGUGCUUCUUCAUCCUCCACAUCGUCUACCGUCUCAAUCAAUUCCACCAGCACAAGUUCCUCCCCGAGCCGAUUCUUAGAGAUCUGAAGGACGCAGAGACGCUCCUCCUGUGUUUUUAGGGCCUCACAUUUCCAACCAUGCUGCCUGAGAAACCCUCUGUUAAUGUGUGCUAAUAAGAAUUUGCACUGUUGCUCAAUAAAGUCA